CCGCAAAAUUGGGGCCUGCAUGGAAUAAAUACGACAGUGCAGCAGAGUACCGGGUACAUGACAUGGCUCUUUUGUUUGCUCUUUUCAAGGUGCUGCUUUUUUCUCCAUUUCAUUGCUGUGGCUCCAUUGAAACCAUCGAGUGAAAAUUACGCGACAGUGCAGCUCGGCGUGGUUUGAGGGAAGAUAAAGAGAUAAAUAAUGAGAGAAAAGUGAGGAAACACUGUUGCCAUAUAUUCUGUUCAUAGUCUCUCCUUGCAGCUCCUUUGUGUGCUGUUAUUAUUGUCUAACUGUGACUUGUUUCACAGUUUCAGCCGGAGUAAAUAAAUAUAAUAAAAUACCAAC
rnacentral:sRNA from 1 species